AAUUUUGGACAAUGGGGGAAACCCUGCUCCAGCCAUCCAGCGUGUAUGAUGAAGGCCUUCGUGUUGUAAAGUACUGUUGGCCGAGAAGAAAAGGUAUCUCCUAAUACGAGGUACUGCUGACGGUCUCUGCAGACGACGCACCGGCUACCUACGUGCCAGCAGCGGCGGUAAUACGUAGGGUGCAAGCGGUAAUCGGAAUUACUGGGCGUAAAGCGUGGGGAGGCGGUUCGGAAAGCAAGAUGUGAAAUCCCAGGGCUCAGCCUUGGAACUGCAUUUUUAACUGCCGAGCUAGAGUAUGUCAGAGGGGGUAGAAUUCCACGUGUAGCAGUAAAAUGCGUAGAUAUGUGGAGGAAUACCGAUGGCGAAGGCAGCGCCCUGGGAUAAUACUGACGCUCAGACACGAAAGCGUGGGGAGCAAACAG
rnacentral:rRNA from 1 species